AGAGUUUGAUCAUGGCUCAGGAUGAACGCUAGCGGCAGGCUUAACACAUGCAAGUCGAGGGGCAGCGAGAUGUAGCAAUACAUUGUCGGCGACCGGCGCACGGGUGCGUAACGCGUAUGCAACCUACCAUAUACAGGAGGAUAACCAUUCGAAAGAAUGCCUAAUACUCCAUAGUAUUAUAAUGAGGCAUCUCAUAAUAAUUAAAGAAUUUCGGUAUAUGCUGGGCAUGCGUGACAUUAGCUAGUUGGAGAGGUAACGGCUCACCAAGGCUACGAUGUCUAGGGGUUUUGAGAGGAAGAUCCCCCACACUGGUACUGAGACACGGACCAGACUCCUACGGGAGGCAGCAGUGAGGAAUAUUGGUCAAUGGACGGAAGUCUGAACCAGCCAUGCCGCGUGAAGGAAGACGGCCCUACGGGUUGUAAACUUCUUUUAUACGGGGAUAAACCUAUCUUUGCGAAGAUAGCUGAAGGUACCGUAUGAAUAAGCAUCGGCUAACUCCGUGCCAGCAGCCGCGGUAAUACGGAGGAUGCGAGCGUUAUCCGGAUUUAUUGGGUUUAAAGGGUGCGUAGGCGGACAAAUAAGUCAGUGGUGAAAUCACUCAGCUUAACUGAGUAACUGCCAUUGAUACUGUUAGUCUAGAAUGUAAAUGAAGUAGGCGGAAUGAAUCAUGUAGAGGUGACAUUCAUAGAUAUGAUUCAGAACACCGAUCGCGAAGGCAGCUUGCUAAGAUACAAUUGACGCUGAGGCACGAAAGCGUGGGUAGCAAACAGGAUUAGAUACCCUGGUAGUCCACGCUGUAAACGAUGAUAACUCGUUGUCGGCGAUACACAGUCGGUGACUGAGCGAAAGCGAUAAGUUAUCCACCUGGGGAGUACGAUCGCAAGGUUGAAACUCAAAGGAAUUGACGG
rnacentral:rRNA from 1 species